CUGGUUUCCUCCCAGCAGAGGGCUCCCGAGUGCGGCUGCGCGGUUGGUCGCUGCUGCUGUUGAACGUGACCCGGUUGGACGCGGGGCGGUACCGGCUGCGCUGCACCAACGACGAGGGGACAGGAAGCGCCACAGUCACAUUGAGCGUCCACUACCCCCCCAGCAUCGUUUGGGCUCCUGACCCGGUUCUGGUUGACGAAGGUGGCGCCGCUGAGCUGCAAUGUGGGGCAGAAGGGAACCCACUGCCCCCCAACAGCCUGCAGUGGGGGCGGCUGCAGGAGGCAUCCUAUGGGGCAGUCCCGGGUCCUCUGCCCCCCGGGCUUCAAUCUGUGGGUUCUGCCCCACGGAUCCGCCUGCGGGUGGCGCCAGCGCGGCGGGACUUAGCGGGAGCUUAUCAGUGCCACGUGGAUAAUGGGGUCAGCCCCACAGCGAGGGCCACCAUCAGGCUGGUGGUCAGAUACGGCCCCGAGCUGGAUGACGAGCUCCCGUUGGUGUGGGUCCAAGAUGGCGCCGAUUGGGCCCAACUGCGCUGCAGGGCCCGCGGGGUCCCACCUGUACAGCUCAGCUGGGAGCGGCACGGCCAAUCACUGCCCCCCAACGGACAGCGGUAACCAAUCACAGGCAGCCGCGGUCAACGGGAGCCAAUCAGAGCUUGUUGGGGUCAAUGGGAGCCAAUCAGAGUCUGUUGGGGUCUAUAGAAGCCAAUCAGAGUCAGAUGGGGUCAACGGGAGCCAAUCAGAGUCGGAUGGGGUCUACGGGAGCCAAUCAGAUUCUGUUGGGGUCAACAGGAGCCAAUCAGAGUCAGAUGGGGUCUAUGGGAGCCAAUCGGAUUUAGUCUGGGGUCAAGAGGAACCGAUCAGGGCCUGAUGGGGUCAACUGGAGCCAAUCAGAGCCAGUUGGGGUCAAUGGGAACCAAUCAGAGCCAGCUGAGGUCAACUGGAGCCAAUCAGAUUUAGUUUGGGGUCAAUGGGAACCAACCAGAGCCAGCUGGGAUCAAAAAGAACCAAUCAGAUUUAGCCGUGAUCAGCAUUCCACCCCAUCCCAGUCCCUCCCAGUCCCACUCCCAUGUUCCAGCCCCAUCCC